rnacentral:rRNA from 1 species
GGAUUUUGGGCGUAAGGGCUCGCAGGCGGUUUCUUAAGUCUGAUGUGAAAGCCCCCGGCUCAACCGGGGAGGGUCAUUGGAAACUGGGGAACUUGAGUGCAGAAGAGGAGAGUGGAAUUCCACGUGUAGCGGUGAAAUGCGUAGAGAUGUGGAGGAACACCAGUGGCGAAGGCGACUCUCUGGUCUGUAACUGACGCUGAGGAGCGAAAGCGUGGGGAGCGAACAGGAUUAGAUACCCUGGUAGUCCACGCCGUAAACGAUGAGUGCUAAGUGUUAGGGGGUUUCCGCCCCUUAGUGCUGCAGCUAACGCAUUAAGCACUCCGCCUGGGGAGUACGGUCGCAAGACUGAAACUCAAAGGAAUUGACGGGGGCCCGCACAAGCGGUGGAGCAUGUGGUUUAAUUCGAAGCAACGCGAAGAACCUUACCAGGUCUUGACAUCCUCUGACAAUCCUAGAGAUAGGACGUCCCCUUCGGGGGCAGAGUGACAGGUGGUGCAUGGUUGUCGUCAGCUCGUGUCGUGAGAUGUUGGGUUAAGUCCCGCAACGAGCGCAACCCUUGAUCUUAGUUGCCAGCAUUCAGUUGGGCACUCUAAGGUGACUGCCGGUGACAAACCGGAGGAAGGUGGGGAUGACGUCAAAUCAUCAUGCCCCUUAUGACCUGGGCUACACACGUGCUACAAUGGACAGAACAAAGGGCAGCGAAACCGCGAGG